GACGAACGCUGGAGGCGUGCUUAACACAUGCAAGUCGAACGAUGAAAUGGAGCUUGCUCCAUGGAUUAGUGGCGAACGGGUGAGUAACACGUGAAUAACCUGCCCUUAAUUUUGGAAUAACCCAGGGAAACCUGGGCUAAUACCGGAUAAGUAAACCUGUGGCAUCACAUGGUUUUGGAAAGUUUUUCGAUUAAGGAUGGAUUCGCGGCCUAUCAGCUUGUUGGUGAGGUAAUGGCUCACCAAGGCGACGACGGGUAGCCGGCCUGAGAGGGUGAACGGGCACACGGGGAAUGAGAGACGGCCCAGACUCCUACGGGAGGCAGCAGUGGGGAAUAUUGCGCAAUGGACGAAAGUCUGACGCAGCGACGCCGCGUGAGGGACGAAGGUCUUCGGAUUGUAAACCUCUUUCAGCAGGGACGAAGCGAAAGUGACGGUACCUGCAGAAGAAGCACCGGCUAACUAUGUGCCAGCAGCCGCGGUAA
rnacentral:rRNA from 1 species